AAAAUCCGUCGACUUUUAAAAUCGUGAGGGUUCAGUCCCUGGGUUCAAGGUCCCCCUUAUCCCCA
rnacentral:tRNA from 1 species